rnacentral:rRNA from 1 species
UAGGGAAUCUUCGGCAAUGGACUAAAGUCUGACCGAGCAACGCCGCGUGAGUGAAGAAGGUUUUCGGAUCGUAAAACUCUGUUGGUAGAGAAGAACGUUGGUGAGAGUGGAAAGCUCAUCAAGUGACGGUAACUACCCAGAAAGGGACGUCUAACUACGUGCC